UGAACUAGAAGCUCGACCGUGAAUCAGGACAGGAACUAAAAAUGUACCGACAUCCGUAUAUUUAACAAAACUGUGAAUCUCAGUCUAUCGCCUCUUCGUCAACAUGAUAACUGAAUAAAAGAAAAACAUCUAAAUCGUUCGGAUUUGAAUUUUUCUUCGUGUGCUAUAGGCUACCCAUUUGUAACGAGUUCAACUGGCAUUUUCCUCGCAUCCAAACAGCCAUUGUGUUUACGCAAAUGAAGAGGAAUUCAAGUGUUUAAUGAGGAGUCCAAGGGCAAGAUACAUGCACUCAGGGCAGCAGUGGGAUGACGGAAGUGGAGCCGGUGUUGGACUUUGCCUCGUCAGGCAGAUCCGGACGCAGGAACGCUCUGCCCGACAUCCUAGGCUCUCCAGCUGGAGUCAACCCCUCUGACCUUCCGCUCAAACUGGCCGAGCUCUCUCUCACUGGUCAAGCCCAGUCCUAUUUAUCUGUGUGGCACAUUAGCAAAAUCAAAUCAUAUGUUUUAUAUGGGCAAAAUAUUUACUGCUAUGUGUAUUUUGACAGUCACACAAAUAUAUGACAGCAAGUUUGUUUCUCGAACAAAUCAGCUCACGACAUUCACUGUCAGGGAGUAACCACUUAAGCUGGACUUGUGCUUUUAUGAACCUUUAUGUACUAGUAGUGAUGGUGGUAGUAGUUGUAAUAAUAUUGAUUAGAGGUGUGUAAGAGUUACAUUUGUGAUGAUAGUAAUGGUAAAGAUAAAAAGACACUAAUGUGAGCUAAAAGUCUCUCUCUCUCUCUCUCUCUCUCUCUCUCUCUCUCUCUCUCUCUCUCUCCCUCUCUCUCU